UACGUAGGGUGCAAGCGUUGUCCGGAAUUAUUGGGCGUAAAGAGCUCGUAGGCGGUCUGUCGCGUCGGCUGUGAAAUCCCGAGGCUCAACCUCGGGUCUGCAGUCGAUACGGGCAAACUAGAGUAUUGCAGGGGAGACUGGAAUUCCUGGUGUAGCGGUGAAAUGCGCAGAUAUCAGGAGGAACACCCGUGGCGAAGGCGGUUCUCUGGGACGGUACUGACGCUGAGACGCGAAAGCGUGGGGAGCGAACAGG
rnacentral:rRNA from 1 species